GCACUAAAGGAGCAAAUUAUUCUUUAUUUAAUUGUAAAUUUAUUGUAAAUACUUUUAAGUCCGCCUUAUAGAAAAUUUUGAAUCUUCUAACUGAAAAAAAUUAUUAUUGUAACUCGCCUUAUUUCUUAUUUAUUUGCUGCACUUUGAUUUGUAUUAUUGCUAAAAUAAGAUUUAUGAAUUUACCUUUAGGCAGAUUCACGACAACGGUAUACAAGCUCUUGUAAAUAAGUAUUGUAUUCUUGGUGGCUAUCAAUUAUAUGGUAAGUUCCCCUAAAUACUUCGUUCAGCCGCCAUAAUAUUUAAGUUUGGGCUUGAUAAUAAGCAUUAAUUCUUGUUUAAAUAUGUUAAUCUCCUUAUAAUUGGGUAUCUAAUCCAGGUUUAACUUUGGAGGUUAGACUAUUUAAAAAUGAAAUAAGUUAUAAGAAAUAAUAGUAUUUCACUACGUAUUAAAAUUUUAUACAUUAAUACUAAAUAAACAAACACUAUAAAUUUGCUUAACAGGUAUGACCGCGGUUGCUGGCACCUAAUAAACCUAAGCUAUAUAAUUAUCUAAAUUUAAAUUUCUUUAAUAGUUUAAGAUUUUUAACUGGAGAAAAUGUUUACACUCCAUAUUAAGUUAGAUUAUGAAUUUAUAGAUCCAUCAUAUUAAAGUGGCCUAUCUAAGGGGGUAUUAUCCAUUUUAGA
rnacentral:rRNA from 1 species